UGAGGACAUCAUGGAAAGUCUGCAACCCGGAAGAGAGCCCUCACCCCAUCAUGCUGGCACCCUGAACUCGGACUUCCAGCCUCCAGAACUAGCAAACUCUUUUGCCACUGCACCAGACCAGUGAAUGGAGAUUUUUCUAGAUGAUAUAUUGAGAGGACACCAGCAACGAUGGAUGGCAAUACCUUCUGUCUUUAUCACUGGAAUAGAGGGAAAAUAAAGUCAUAUCUCAGAAAAUGUACGAACCAUUCACAUCCAAGCCACCAGGGCCAACACAGAAGGAGGUGCACACUCCCAGGAUUGAACUAUCCCAGGAGCAGAACCCUAAGGUUAAAGUCUUCUUAAAGAAUGAAUCUAGAUUUUGUGCCAGCUAUUUCCAAGAAAUCAUAUUUAUUCAUCGGGAUGAAAGGCCAUGUGAGGACACAGCAAGAAGGUGGCUGUCUGCAAGCCAGGAAGAGUAACCUUCGUCAUCACAAACUGAAUUUGUUAGCACACUGAUCUUGGAUUUCCAGCCUCUAAAACUCUAAGAAGUAAACCUUUGUCAUGUAAGCCACCCAGUCUAGGAUAUUUUGUUCCAGCAGCCUGAGAAAACUAAGACAGCACCAAAAUCAAGAUAAAUAAAAUCCAUAAUACAAUGUUUUUAAAAUUCAAAAUUAAUGCAAAAAUUCACAAUGAACGAAA